rnacentral:rRNA from 1 species
CCUACGGGUGGCUGCAGUGAGGAAUAUUGGUCAAUGGACGAGAGCCUGAACCAGCCAAGUCGCGUGAGGGAGUACUGCCCUAUGGGUUGUAAACCUCUUUUGUCGGGGAGCAAAAGCCGGACGUGUCCGGCUGUGAGAGUACCCGAAGAAAAAGCAUCGGCUAACUCCGUGCCAGCAGCCGCGGUAAUACGGAGGAUGCGAGCGUUAUCCGGAUUUAUUGGGUUUAAAGGGUGCGAAGGCUGAUUUUUAAGUCCGCGUUCAAAUCGUGGGGCUCAACCCCAUCCAGCCGUUGAAACUGGGGAUCUAGUGUGUGCGAGAGGUAUGCGGAAUGCGUGGUGUAGCGGAGAAAUGCAUAGAUAUCAAGCAGAACCCCGAUUGCGAAGGCAGCAUACGGGUGCAAAACUGACGCUCAGGCACGAAAGCGUGGGUAUAGAACAGGAUUAGAUACCCCUGUAC